GCUGCUGAUUCACCCACUGCCCACCUGCCAGCCCUUUUUACCAGCCCACUGAGUCACACAGGUUGCCAAGAGGCUGAGAAUCCGAGAAUCGAGGCCCCGCCCCAGCUGCUCCUGCUGGCUCCGUGCCUGGCAGGAUCCGGCACUGCCAAGGGCACCGCCAGCCCCCCUCCUAUGGCUGCCGAGGACAGCUUCCUGCCCCUUUGGGCCUGCCCCCAUGCCCGUCUCGACAAUGAGCCCAACGUCUAACUUUAAGGAUUAGGGCAGCAGCUACGAGCUGGGGCUCUGGGUAGACAGAGUCCAGGCUCAAACCCCCAGCCUGCUACUUGCUGACCCUCGUCCUGGCCUACAUAUGGGGAUGACCUCCACCUCCAAAAGCUUGAAAUAUUGGAUGGAAACACUGAGGAUAGGGCCUGACUAGGACCCUCCAAGUCAGGGACAACUGGCACUUCAGAAAAUGCAAUCGAAAAUCCUCCCAGCAAAUUCAAACUGCCAUAAAAGUCUCUGAACAAUUUCAAUUUAUCCCAUGUCCCUGAGGACCAGCAAUAAUCUGUAGCAUUCAGCCCACAUGGAUUGAUUGAGCCCCUGCUAGGUGUCAGGCCAGGUGCAGGUACCAGCGAUACACCAGGGAACAAAAGAGGGAGCAAUCACCUUCUGGUCUAGGGGCGUAAGAAGUAAAAUGCAUGUUGGAAGAAAAACACGUGGAUUCAACUCAGGCCGGGCGCCAGGCGACACCGUCUGUCUUCACAGCUGGUGGGCCCCACCACCAUCUGCCUUCCUCAGAGGGGAAGAGACAUUUCCUGCCACCUGCGGAGGGCUCCCUGCUGGUGACGGCACCAGGGACUUCAGGAAUACUUCACACACCUUGACAUCCAUGAGUCCACAGGGAAGUUGAGGGAACCACCUGUCUGGGAUCCUUUAUAGGUAGAGGGCCUCCCGGACAAGGGAAGGUCUGCACUCCACAGGAUCCCAAAGGAGGGGUACGUUUCUGGACUCAGAACUCAGGGGCCAGGACGACGCCCUCCCCACCGCAGCUCACACACACAGGUCAGCUCCUGUGGCCUUGUGGCCCUGCCCCGUCCUCUCCCCGGCUGCCCGCGGGGCUGGGGCUCACCCCGUCCGCCCGCACACUCGGCGGGACCACCAGCAUAAACGCGGGCAGAGGCUGCACCCCGCCUGGGGCCGAGGACAGGAGUGCGCCCGGCCUGCAGCUCCCCGCCCCCGCUCCGGGCACUGCCGCCGCCACCCGGGCCUGGGCCAUUGUCUGCGCCGCCCUUGCCCCGCCCCUCCUCCUGCCGCGCACGAGUGAGGGGCGGCUGGGCAGAGUGGGCAGAGGCGCGGCCCGGGAGCAACGGAGCCGGAGCCGCGGCUCCCAAAUCCAACGUGGGUGCCCGGCACAGGGCUGAGGAUGCCACGCAAGCCUCCUCCCAAGGCCGGAGUGGUACCCGUGUUGCGGAUACAAUGAGACACUGCAGCCCAAGGCCAGGCACAGGGAAGGCGCUACAGCCUGGCUGUCCACAGCACCCCACGAAAGUGGGGGAGGGCCUGGGAGUUAAUCUGCAGAGCACAGCCCCGAGCGGCCACUGACCCCAGGUCCCCAGCCUCCCAGCGCGAUGCCUUCUCCUAGGACCUACUCUCUGUCCUGUAUUUCUUCACCAUGGUCUCAUCUUCUCAGAUUUGAACCAAGUUGGGUGUUGUCUCCUCGCAACUGGAAGGUGAGACCUUUGUCUAUCCGCGUGGUGCUCCGAGCUGGGCUGGGGAUGCGGCAAGGGGGUCACAGCGCCACCUGCUGUUCCUGACGGCACACCCUCAGACCGCACUCAGGCCACAACCCGGCGCUGGGGGCCUCUGCCCCUGAUGGGUGCCGGAGACCUCCCCAGACCCCAACUGCUCCCCCAGCCCUCUGGGCACCUGGGGACCUGGCCUUCGGGGCAAGAAGCACUCCAGUGCUCCUGUUAUGGGUUGAACUGUGUCCCCAAAAAGCUAACCCAGCACCUGUGAAUAA